CGCCGCAUGGCAAAGCGCACUGACGUCGGUGCCACGCACGAGGCCACGUUAGCAAUAUGCCUGCCCUACGAUCGGACAGCCCAAGAUCGAUCCCGCGCGCGUGGACAGCCCAGAUUCAUUUCACCCUUAGCGCGAUUGGACGAUCGAGAUCAAUCGCGAUAGACGGCUCAGAUUAGUGGGGGAUGGUUAUAAAUAUUUU
rnacentral:lncRNA from 1 species